rnacentral:rRNA from 1 species
UACGUAGGGUGCGAGCGUUGUCCGGAAUUAUUGGGCGUAAAGGGCUCGUAGGCGGUUUGUCGCGUCGGGAGUGAAAAUCCAGGGCUUAACUCUUGGACUGGCUUCCGAUACGGGCAGACUAGAGGUAUGCAGGGGAGAACGAAUUCCUUGGUGUAGCGGUGAAAUGUCGCAGAUAUCAGGAGGAACAUCCGGUGGCGAAAGGCGG